UACGGGGGGAGCAAGCGUUGUUCGGAUUUACUGGGCGUAAAGGGCGCGUAGGCGGAUAUUUAAGUUAGAGGUGAAAGCCCAGGGCUCAACCCUGGAAUAGCCUUUAAUACUGGAUAUCUUGAGUUCGGGAGAGGUGAGUGGAAUGCCGAGUGUAGAGGUGAAAUUCGUAGAUAUUCGGCGGAACACCAGUGGCGAAGGCGACUCACUGGCCCGAUACUGACGCUGAGGCGCGAAAGCGUGGGGAGCAAACAGG
rnacentral:rRNA from 1 species